GGUAUUGAUUGGUGCUUGCAUCAUGAUUUACAUUUGAGUGAGUGGCGAACUGGUGAGUAACACGUGGGAAACCUGCCCAGAAGCGGGGGAUAACACCUGGAAACAGAUGCUAAUACCGCAUAACAACUUGGACCGCAUGGUCCGAGUUUGAAAGAUGGCUUCGGCUAUCACUUUUGGAUGGUCCCGCGGCGUAUUAGCUAGAUGGUGGGGUAACGGCUCACCAUGGCAAUGAUACGUAGCCGACCUGAGAGGGUAAUCGGCCACAUUGGGACUGAGACACGGCCCAAACUCCUACGGGAGGCAGCAGUAGGGAAUCUUCCACAAUGGACGAAAGUCUGAUGGAGCAACGCCGCGUGAGUGAAGAAGGGUUUCGGCUCGUAAAACUCUGUUGUUAAAGAAGAACAUAUCUGAGAGUAACUGUUCAGGUAUUGACGGUAUUUAACCAGAAAGCCACGGCUAACUACGUGCCAGCAGCCGCGGUAAUACGUAGGUGGCAAGCGUUGUCCGGAUUUAUUGGGCGUAAAGCGAGCGCAGGCGGUUUUUUAAGUCUGAUGUGAAAGCCUUCGGCUCAACCGAAGAAGUGCAUCGGAAACUGGGAAACUUGAGUGCAGAAGAGGACAGUGGAACUCCAUGUGUAGCGGUGAAAUGCGUAGAUAUAUGGAAGAACACCAGUGGCGAAGGCGGCUGUCUGGUCUGUAACUGACGCUGAGGCUCGAAAGUAUGGGUAGCAAACAGGAUUAGAUACCCUGGUAGUCCAUACCGUAAACGAUGAAUGCUAAGUGUUGGAGGGUUUCCGCCCUUCAGUGCUGCAGCUAACGCAUUAAGCAUUCCGCCUGGGGAGUA
rnacentral:rRNA from 1 species